rnacentral:rRNA from 1 species
GGGCCCGCACAAGCAGCGGAGCGUGUGGUUUAAUUCGAGGCAACGCGAAGAACCUUACCUGGGCUUGACAUGGGCAUGGUAGUGAAGCGAAAGCGGAACGACCCGCAAGGGAGUGUCCACAGGUGCUGCAUGGCUGUCGUCAGCUCGUGCCGUGAGGUGUUAGGUUAAGUCCUGUAACGAGCGCAACCCUUACUGCCAGUUACAAGUGUCUGGCGGGACUGCCGGUGUGAAACCGGAGGAAGGUGGGGAUGACGUCAAGUCAGCAUGGCCUUUAUGUCCAGGGCGACACACACGCUACAAUGGCCGGUACAGAGGGAUGCGAUACCGCGAGGUGAAGCGAAUCUCACAAAGCCGGUCUUAGUUCGGAUUGCAGGCUGCAACCCGCCUGCAUGAAGCUGGAGUUGCUAGUAACAGCCGGUCAGCCACACGGCUGUGAAUACGUUCCCGGGCCUU